rnacentral:rRNA from 1 species
GUAGGGGCAAGCGUUGUCCGGAUUUAUUGGGCGUAAAGCGCGUGUAGGCGGCCAGGCAGGUCCGUUGUGAAAACUAGAGGCUCAACCUCUAGACGUCGAUGGAAACCGCUUGGCUAGAGUCCGGAAGAGGAGAGUGGAAUUCCUGGUGUAGCGGUGAAAUGUGCAGAUAUCAGGAAGAACACCGAUGGCGAAGGCAGCUCUCUGGGACGGUACUGACGCUGAGACGCGAAAGCGUGGGGAGCGAACAGGAUUAGAUACCCUGGUAGUCCACGCCGUAAACGAUGGGUGCUAGGUGUGGGAGGUGUCGACUCCUCCCGUGCCGCAGCUAACGCAUUAAGCACCCCGCCUGGGGAGUACGGCCGCAAGGCUA